rnacentral:rRNA from 1 species
GACGAACGCUGGCGGCGUGCUUAACACAUGCAAGUCGAACGGAAAGGCCCCCUUGUGGGGUACUCGAGUGGCGAACGGGUGAGUAACACGUGAGUAACCUACCCUUUACUUUGGGAUAACUUCAGGAAACUGGGGCUAAUACCGGAUAGGAGCUCCUGCUGCAUGGUGGGGGUUGGAAAGUUUCGGCGGUUGGGGAUGGACUCGCGGCUGAUCAGCUUGUUGGUGGGGUAGUGGCUCACCAAGGCUUUGACGGGUAGCCGGCCUGAGAGGGUGACCGGCCACAUUGGGACUGGGAUACGGCCCAGACUCCUACGGGAGGCAGCAGUGGGGAAUGUUGCACAAUGGGCGGAAGCCUGAUGCAGCAACGCCGCGGGCGGGAUGACGGCCUUCGGGUUGUAAACCGCUUUCGCCUGUGACGAAGCGUGAGUGACGGUAAUGGGUAAAGAAGCACCGGCUAACUACGUG